AUUGACUUUCUUUCUGCUUUCUUCCUAUAGCUGUACGGACCAAGAUGGUGUACUGCAAGAUUGACCAGACGCAGAGAAAGGUUAUUGUGAGCCACAGCACCCACCGCACCUUUGGCAAGCAGCAGUGGCAGCAGCUGCACGACAGCCUCAGCUCCUGGAAGGCCAACCUAGCAGCCGUCAAGACCAGCCUGCAAGCCCUGUCCCCUUCUGCUUAGUUCCACCGUAACCCGACUGCCAGGCCCCCCAUUAUUUUCUGCUUUCCAAAUCACCAGACUGAAUUGAUCAGUUUUUAUAUGAAUCCAAUAAAAGAACUGUGGAGAUCA